CGUGACCAUGUUCGCGGCCGCCGACCCAUGUGCCCUCAAAGGUCGAGAGCACACCGUGUCUAUUAAGGAUCUGGUCGGUUUUGCAUGCGGCGGCGGCCUCGUCUGCCAUUUCCACCGCUAGGCCAUAGCCGUGGGGCUCGCCAUUGACGAGGUCGCCCAUAAAGACGACCGACUCGCGUACUGAGCGGUGUGGCCCAGUCGCUGCCGGUACGGCGGGCGCCGAGGCCACCGCACGGUAGAGCCAACGCCAGUCCUUGCCAUAGUUGGAAAACUGUCGGUGCAGUGGAUCGCCAUAACACAGGGUAUACAAGUGACGCCACAGACUAUCGUCGCCGCAGAUGCGCGCCAUCCGGCGGCACGUGGCCUCGAUACGACAGAUGGCCGAGGCUGAUCGUGUCGCCACGGCGAUGGCCACGAUCAACUCGUCGGGCAGCACGAGAAAGGCAUCGUUUGGCGGCGUUGGAUCAUCUAGAAGGAUUGCGGCGUGGCGACGCCGAUGAGAAGAUGCACACGAGUGCCUUUCACAAUGACGAGACUCGGUCAUGCGUCGCCACCAACGCCACCCUUUGGGACUGCGACAAUGACGACGACGCCAACAAAAGAGCGCGCGUCCUCCCCUCGGCAUACUGUAUGCUGCUAUAAAUCGGCGCCUAUUGGCGGUACGCGGCAUCUUGGUUUUUUUGGAAAAAAAACCCAAAAGGCGCGGCUGCUGGUCGGCGCUGGCGCCCUUUUGCCUCCUCGUCGACUUUUCGCUUGCGAGGCCUCUGUGUCUCUCUUUUUUUCCAGUAGUGGCGGCGCCCCGUUUUUGCGCCGCCGGCGGUUUGUGCUCGCGGUCCAGUUGCAAAAAAAAAAGAAGCGCAUCAUUGGUCCGUUGUUGGAGCAAAAAAAGAAGGUGCAGC
rnacentral:lncRNA from 1 species